GAUGAGCCUCCUGCACCAGGUCUGAAGUAACUGAGCAAAUCCAGGCUUCCAUGGCUCCUUGAAUACUGUGUGGUUCUCUAUGUGCCUCUGGAGAAGAAACAGGCUCACCUAUCACACUUUUGGCAAAAGACGCUCUUUUAAGGGUGGCCAGACCCAAGUCACCAAUCUUCACAGAGCCGGUGGGCCCAGUGAUGAAGAUGUUGUCACACUUGAGGUCACGGUGGAUGAUGGGGGGUGUCCUUGUAUGCAGGAACAGCAGGCCCUUCAGGAUCUGCCGGCACCAGCUCCUCAGUACCUUCGGCUUCAUCACCUUGAACCGCUUCAGGUACCUGGGGGAGGGGCAGAACCAUCAAGCAGUUCUCCUGCUGCAGGCCCCGAGGAAGGCCAAGCCUGGAAAAGUCUAGUCUCAGCCACAUGAGCUUUGCAGCUGUGUGGGACAGGCAGUGAGGGGAAAGGGAUAUGCCAACAGUUCUUCUCCUACCCAGGGUUUCUCAGCUGGAUCGAGGUGGCUGAGCCAGGACCUCGGCACUCCACUAGACCUUUUCAUUGGAGACCUUGCUCCCAAACCCAUGCCAAUCAUAGUCUUCAUCUCCUGGAUGUGAGAAGAAGCCACAAAAUGGGGCAGGGUCCCAGCCUAGCACACGAAUAAUAGAGGAAUACCUACAGUCAAAGGUCACAAAGGCCAGGCUAUCCUUGCAACAAGCUGCAUGCUGGGCCCUGGUGUCACCCAGCGGGGAGGUAGGAAGUGACAUUCCCUCACUGAAUCAGCACAGUAGAGUGAAGCUACCCAGAGGCAGAAAACAUCAAGGUCCUACUCGGGGCCUCAGGGUUAAAAUGAUUCAGAGGAACUCAACCAUGGCUAUGGGGGGGGGGCAUUCCCAUAUCCCAAUAUAGCACAGACCUCAGACAGUAGCAAACUGCCAUGGCCACUGAACCCCCAGCCCGUUGCUGUGUCAUGUUUGGCCCUUAAUGUCUGCAUUUUGCUUCCAAACCAGCAGAACAUGCCAGGCUGGCCUCUAGGCAAACAGAUAUUGGCCAAUAAUAAGAUCCCAGACAAAGCAGACAAAGGAACUGUGCCACUGGGAAGUGUCCUACACAGGAAGGGAGAGUGGAAAUAGUCGCAUGGUCACGAGAACCAGUCUCAUUUGCUACAAGAAGCCAGAGGGAGCCAAAUGUUAGGAAGACUAUUAGGUCCGAGUCUUCUCACUUGGGGAAUGGGCUUCCCAUGGCUGAGAGAAAUUAUAGGACUCAAAAAGGGCAUUGCUGAAUGAACGCCAGAUCACAGACGCCAGCCAGGUUGACCCAAGCAUCCCAACACCUGUUACCCUAUCACAGCCCCUACGGACGGUGUGGAAAGCCUUUUGGGGUACCGCUUGGCAGGAGUCUGACAUUGGCCAAGGACAAGGAAAUGGGCUUCGGACAGGAAUCUGACAUUGGCCAUGGCAAGGAAGUAAGCUCAGGCAGGAAUCUGACAUUAGGGCAUAAUAAGGAUGUAAGUUUUGGCAAGAAUCUUACUUUAGGCUGUAAUAGGGAAGUAGUGUAAGGCAGGAAUUUUAGUCUUAGGGUACAACAGAAGAACAAGGCUUCAGGCAAGAUUUUGGGCUUGGACAAGGAAGUGGGCUCAAGUAUUUUGGUCAUUAUGACAAGCCCUUUUAAACAACUGUCACGGGAGUAAUCAUGGGACUUGUUUGCUGCUCUGUUAGCUCCUUAUUGUACUGCUUGCCCAAAAUACUUGCAUGUAAUUAAAAUGGUAUAAAAAGUGGAUUGGAAAAUAAAAAUUUGCCUUCAGUUUCAGAAUUACCUGGGGCCACACUACAAUGUUGUCUAACUGUCUUUUUUCUUUUUAAUCCUCAUUCCUGCACUGGAGAACCUGUUGACUGACUGAGCAGGCUUGGUCACGAAGGCUACCCCAGCCCACAUGUGUGCAGCACUUACGUCUUCAGUGUACCCGAGGUCAUCAGCUCUGUCACCAGCACGAUACAUCGCUUGCCCUUGGCACUGGACUCCCAGAAGUCAUAGAAGCGCACAAUGUUGGGGUGCUGUAGACCUUUCAGCAUCUCCGCCUCCUCUUUGAAUCUCUGCCGUUCAAGCUUGGUGAGUUCAGCAGGAGACGCCUCAGGGGCAGGUAGUCCCCAGCAGUGACAUGUAGCAGAAUCUACCCUUUCUUUCUGCCCACCAUGACAAAUGGCGCACCAUAGCUAACCCUUGGGCCCCACAACCCCAGAUACAGCCUGUCUGGGCCCUCUGUAAGAAAGAAGUUGUUCCAGGAAGCUGAGAAGCAGCUCACACGCCAUGCAGCUGACCGAGCUCCUGCACUUUUUCCUUUAAAAAAAAAAAAAAAAACAAAACCUC
rnacentral:lncRNA from 1 species